rnacentral:misc_RNA from 1 species
GAGCACAGGAGGAACUCUGGCAGGA